UCGGCUCUCACCCGAGCGACCCGGGUUCAAGUCCCGGCAACGGAAUUCUUUUUCCAUUUUCGCAUGAAUGGAGGAGAACCUUUUAGCAAUCCUAGACUCCGCCUCCGAUUCUAAACACACACCAGACGCCAACGAUGAUAGGAUUGGAUUUCUCGAAGCAGCUCGCAGCUCUUGUAUUGUAACGAAACUCCUCCAACAAAGGAAUUUCCUUUCUUUUGUUUCCUUCAAAUUAGAGAUUUAGGAAUUGUAAUUAUUGUUACUAUUAUGGAAUUUGUGUUCUGUGAAGCAAACUGUGCGAGGCGGUCUUUUAAAUUCCGAGGGCUGGGAAAUCCUUGGAAUUGAUUACUCAAAGUUUUCGGCUUCGAAAUGAGUUAGAUAACAUACUCAAUUGCUUCUCUUUUAAUCUGAACUUGCAGUUUUAGAUGAUACUUAGAGAAUUUAAUUUGUUUUUGCUUGCGUUUAGCGUUAUCCUGGCGUGUAUUUGUCGGAUAAAGAAGCCUCUCGGCCACUCGUGGUUGCGGAGGUAUUAAGUUCUUCUGCUUUUAUCCUGGUGUGUAUUUGAUCAAGGUUUUUUAAGUUCUAUCUAUCCAUAUGUUGAUGAUGAUGGUGUUAGAUAUAACAUUCUUUUUAGCUGAAUAUUAGGCCUCGUCUCGCGAGAGCGGAGCUGGCGGUACAAGUAUCAGCAGACCGCUUAACUCACUGAGAAUGAUUGCAACGCUGGGUUACUUGUGUGCUGCAACGUAACAGGGUGUAUGGAGGUAUUGACACAUCCCUUGUUCAUAUGCUUUUCAGCACCUGGGAGAUUUAAACAGUUUAUUAUCGUACUGCAGAAACCAUGAACUGGACCCGUCUAAGGGAGUUCUUGCACCUUCUGAGUUAUUGUUCUUAUUGAGUUUUGUAAUUUGUUGAUUAUGAUGGUGUGGUCCUUAAUUGAUUUCGUAUACUUUCGGCCUUCCAAAAACUUUCAAUAUAUCCUUCCUUGUUCUUAAAUUAAAAUUCUCUCCUUGCUGGAGACGUUUCAUGAUGUGAAUAUCUUGUUUCUUGUUUAUGUCGCAGAGUUCAAGAAGAACAAGCUACAAAGGCUUGAUGAAAGAUUGGUUGUGCAUCAUGUGUGGAUUAUUUGAAGUUUCUGCGGGAAUCAGUGAGAGUUUAGAACCUCCUGAUAAUUCUGCAGCAAAACUAUCUCACAAUGGCAAUACUGCUUCAGCAUUUGCAACCAGAGCUGAUGCUGUGAGAUUUUAGUCAUUGAACUCUGCCCCAGAAUAUAGGGCAUUAAUCAUGACAGUAACCUUAUAACCGUCCGAAGCAUCAAAGUUAUGGAAUGGGCCUCAAAGUAAAAAGGAGCUGCACAAAAAGGGAAGGACAAGGAUAGAAAGUAGUCAUCACUGCUCCGAAUACACCAUCUAAACAAAAACAAAGGGGGAUUUCAGGAAGACAAUAGAUCACACAAUGAAUUCUGAAGCAAUUUCAGUAUCAGGAACAUAGAGAAGAAUGAACUAGUUCUAGCAAAACACAGCUAUUGUUCAUGCAAUAAAUUUUAAACUGCAUGUAUUUCAUGAUUACGAGGGGCCUUCUGUCCACAUUUAUUUAUUUGUUUAACUCAAAAACUAAAAGUCAAUCACACCAUAAACACAGAAAAAACAAAAAAAGAAGGGUUGUUUAAAAUUAAAUGCAAUCAGCAGCAGAGUGAAGGCUAAAAAAAAGAGAGUUAGAAUUGAGAAGUGACCUCGACACUUGCAGUGGUGUCUCGCUGGACUUCGGCUCUCAUGGUUCUGAUUUGAAGAGUUUGUGGCCUUCGCAAAGGAUGGAAAAGGGGAGAUUUUAUGAAGUUUUAACUAGUCAAAUUUUGUAUGUUAGAGGGAUAAUUAGAAGUGAAUUAUAAUUGAAAUUUUUCAUCGCUUCAA